rnacentral:rRNA from 1 species
AUUGAACGCUGGCGGCAGGCCUAACACAUGCAAGUCGAGCGAGCGGCGGACGGGUGAGUAAUGUCUGGGAAACUGCCUGAUGGAGGGGGAUAACUACUGGAAACGGUAGCUAAUACCGCAUACCAUCAGAUGUGCCCAGAUGGGAUUAGCUGGUAGGUGGGGUAACGGCUAACCUAGGCGACGAUCCCUAGCUGGUCUGAGAGGAUGACCAGACACACGGGAACUGAGACACGGUCAAGACGCAUACGGGAGGGAGCAGUGGGGAAUAUGGGACAAUGGGCGCAAGCCUGAUGCAGCCAUGCCGCGUGUGUGAAGAAGGCCGUCGGGUUGUAAGGCACUUUCAGCGGGGAGGCGUUACCCGCAGAAGAAGCACCGGCUAACUCCGGGCCAGCAGCCGCGGUAAUAC